rnacentral:rRNA from 1 species
UUCCUACGGGAGGCAGCAGUGGGGAAUAUUGGACAAUGGGGGCAACCCUGAUCCAGCAAUGCCGCGUGGGUGAAGAAGGCCUUCGGGUUGUAAAGCCCUUUCGGCUGGGAAGAAAAGCUUACGGGUAAUAUCCGUAAGUCUUGACGUUACCAGAAGAAGAAGCACCGGCUAACUCUGUGCCAGCAGCCGCGGUAAUACAGAGGGUGCGAGCGUUAAUCGGAAUUACUGGGCGUAAAGCGCAUGUAGGUGGUUUGAUAAGUCGGAUGUGAAAGCCCCGGGCUCAACCUGGGAAUUGCAUUCGAUACUGUCAGGCUAGAGUAUGGUAGAGGGAAGCGGAAUUUCAGGUGUAGCGGUGAAAUGCGUAGAUAUCUGGAGGAACACCA